AUUACUUUGGCAGAUUAGUGCGGUAAAUUUAGAAUUUAUUAAUGUAUAUUAUUAUACAGGUGAUA
rnacentral:tRNA from 1 species